rnacentral:lncRNA from 1 species
AGGCAACAGUUCCAGAAAUCCCCAAGCCUGAAUUGCCUAAGGUUGAAUUGCCACCGUUACCAAAACCUGAAAUACCACAAAUUCCAAAGCCUGAAUUACCUGAGAUUCCAAAGCCUGAGCUUCCUAAAAAACCUCAAUUACCAGAGAUUCCAAAGCCAGAACUACCGAAGAAACCUGAAUUACCUGAGAUUCCAAAGCCUGAGUUGCCAAAAGAACCAGAAUUGCCAGAGAUUCCGAAAGCUGAGGUGCCAAAAGAGCCUGAAGUACCUGAACUUCCGAAGCCUGAGUUGCCCAAAGUGCCUGAGGUGCCAAAAGAGCCCGAAGUACCUGAACAUCCGAAGCCUGAGUUGCCCAAAGUGCCUGAGGUGCCAAAGGAGCCCGAAGUACCUGAACUUCCAAAGCCUGAGUUGCCCAAAGUGCCUCAGGUGCCAAAAGAGCCCGAAGUACCUGAACAUCCGAAGCCUGAGUUGCCCAAAGUGCCUGAGGUGCCAAAGGAGCCCGAAGUACCUGAACUUCCAAAGCCUGAGUUGUCCAAAGUGCCUGAGGUGCCAAAGGAGCCCGAAGUACCUGAACUUCCAAAGCCUGAGUUGCCCAAAGUGCCUGAGGUGCCAAAAGAGCCCGAAGUACCUGAACAUCCGAAGCCUGAGUUGCCCAAAGUGCCUGAGGUGCCAAAGGAGCCCGAAGUACCUGAACUUCCAAAGCUUGAGUUGCCCAAAGUGCCUGAGGUGCCAAAAGAGCCCGAAGUACCUGAACAUCCGAAGCCUGAGUUGCCCAAAGUGGCUGAGGUGCCAAAGGAGCCCGAAGUACCUGAACUUCCAAAGCCUGAGUUGCCCAAAGUGCCUGAGGUGCCAAAAGAGCCCGAAGUACCUGAACUUCCAAAGCCUGAGUUGCCCAAGGCGCCUGAAUUGCCUUCUUUCCCCCAUCUACCUGAGCUUCCUAAGCCGACAUUUCCCCCCAUCCCGAGUCUUCCCAAGGAGAUGCCAACUCACUCAACCACCAAUCCUUAAAUUCCAUUUUCUUCAAAUGCUUUCCCGAGCUUCAUCUGGUUCUCUGCAGAUGUAUAUCAAUAAAUUAUAUUUGUUGUUUCUUGUUUUGAGACUUUCCAAAUUUGUGUGUUUUCCCUUUUGAGGAUUCUUUUUGUUAUUGUUUUUAAAUCUGGGAUACGACUCGUGAUGAGUUCGGCUACGCAGGACUACUGUUGUAUUCAUUUCUACAUAAUAAAUUGAGUGAUAUAUAUUGUAUUUUUAUGUUUAGCAGUCUGAUUUGAGGUUUCUGAUUUUAUAUGUGCUCUAUCACGUAAUUGCAUUUUAUCUUCAUUUUGACGUCAGUCGAAAAUGUAUAGGAAAUUUAAAAUAAUGAUGAUUGCUGUGUCACAUCGAUUAAAUUGGUAUUUAAUUUUUUGUGAUUUUAAAAUAUACAGAAAAAUAAAUUAAAGAGACAACUUUUUGUUUUGUGUUUCAGCAUUCGAAGCUAGAAAGACCUAAACGAACUUCAGCACCGCAGCGACAGUGAUAUUUUAGAAAAAUAAACUAGGACGACCCUUUAUCUGAUCAUCAAGGGGAGAAAAAUCAGAUUUAUUUGUUCCCUUUGACCACACAGUCGGUUAUGAUUUUGUCGAACAGCAAACCGUGAAGAGCUACGUGCCCAAAAUAGGAAUGUUUACGUGACUUUUAGACUAGAGCUGUCACUAAUGUUUAAUAUGAAACUAAUCCAUCCUGAACUAGAUUUACAACUUUUGUAAAUGUUUUUUUGCAGAAUAAAUAUUCUCACUUGAGACGAAAUAUCCCCAUUACACAAGGUCCAUAAAAAAAAUGAUUAAUUUGCAGAGAGAGUUACAAAAAAAAUGAUUAAAUUAUAGAGAGAGCUUACAUUAAAACCAGAUAAGGACAGAAGUUAGUAACUCAAUUGAUCAAUUCUAACAAGGAACAAGAAACAAGGAGCAAAAGUGAAUUAUAUAAAACUAGCUAGUAUUAAUAUUCAAAAACAAAGUAAUAAAAUGAAAUGAAUUAUUUUAGGCUCAAGUUCUAGCACUUGACACGUGAUAUUUUUUGGUCUGAUUUUUUUGAAGUACACACAUGUGCAUUUGAUUAUCCUGAUUUGAGCUUUUUGUUGGGAAAAAUCGGGUGGGUGAAGUAGACACGCAAUUUAAAUGAAAUAAAAAAAUAAUGAUCAUACAGGGACACCAGAAUUUAUGUGGUUUGACUUUUAGCAUACGUCCAUAUGUUGUCAGAUAUGCUAGAGUGCAUUUACUUAUGCUGUCAGAUAUGCUAAACUUUAAUCUAUGCUGCUUACUUGUAGCACAGUGCUCGCAAAAUGAUAAGUUCACCUAUUUAAGCCCUGGAAGCAACUUUUUCCCAGAGAGAAUCUUCAAACCUUGUUUCCACAUGUGGCCAAGUUUGAGAUGCACAUCAUUGUCGAUUCUUCUCUAUUUGACGCAACACAAGCAGUAGCUUCUUGCAAUGUUUCCCCUUUAAGCAUGAAUAAAUUGGCACAUAUAUUUUCUGCCUUCAUCAAUACAAGCGUACUUCUGACAAUCUUCAUGAUCCCAUUUUCCACCUGAGUUUUAUAGUCAAGACUAUCUAUUUGUCCUAAAGACAAUAGAUUUUUUUUCAUACAUUUGACAUGCAGUACCUCCUAAAUAGUGCAAAUAUACCAUCAAAUAUUUUUAUUUUGAUAGAACCAACACUAGCAAUCUCCAAGGUAUGAUUAUCACCCAUAUAUACCGAUUCUCCUAAGAUAGGUUCAUAUUUGUGGGAUUAUUCUCUCUAAGAGGUCCUGUGCCAGUAGCUCUUGAGUCUAUAAACCAGACGUCAGAUAGUUUUUUUCUGCCUUCUGCAACCAUAACUGCCUCGUUGUAUAAAACGUCAUCAUCAUAUGAGGUACUUACUACACACCCCUAAGUAUUUGAUGACUUAGGAUCUUUACCCUCUCCUUUCUACUGGUAACUCCAACACUCUUUCUUGACAUGCCAUAUUUUUCCACAUUUGUAGCAUCUGAUUUUCUUCUUACUUCUUAAAUUUGAUCUACCAUGAUUGUGACUCCUACUAGGACUACGUUUCACUGACCUCCCUCUCAUCAUCAUGCGCUUCCACUUGCAGCGAACUUGCUUAACUGUCUUCCUAGUUUUUGCGCCUACUCUCUUAUUCUAAUACAGAGGCUGUAACAUCAUCGAAGACUAAGUACUCCAUAAGGAUAUUGUUCAUCAAGUUGAUGAUGAGUUGAUCAUAUGAGUCAGGUAAACUUUAAAGUAGAAGCUCUGCACGUUCAAUUUCUUCUAUUUUAUACCCAACGUCGUAAGUUGUGAAAAUAGAGUUUUAAGAGUGUUGAUAUGGUCGCUCAUCGUUAUGGUUUCCGCAAUUCGAAAAGUAUAGAGUCUCCUCUUCAAAAAGAUAUUAUUGUGUAGUGACUUGGCCUCAUACAGUUUUGUGAGAGUAUCCCAAAUACCUUUCAUUGUCUUUUCCUCCGCCACACUAGAUAACACCCCAUCUGAGUGCCAGGUGUAGAUCAACAAUUGCAUUGCUGUCACUUCAUUCCACUUGUCACCAGUGAUUUUUGCAGGCCUUUCCCCAAUUAUUUUUAAGCAAUUAUUUUUCCUCAAGACUAGGUACUCCGUAAGGAUAUUGUUCGUCAAGUUGAUUAUAUAAGUCAGGUAAACUUUGAAGUAGAAGCUCUGCACAUUUAAUUUCCUCUACUUUAUGCCAAACAUCAUAAGUUGUGAAAAUAAAGUUUUAAGAGUGUUGGUAUGGUCGAUCACCGUUGUGGUUUCCCCCAUUCGAAGAGUAUAGAGUCUCCUCUUCAAGAAGAUUUUGUUGUGUAGUGACUUGAUCUCGUAUAGUUCUGUGAGAGUAUCCCAAAUACCUUUCACUGUCUUUUCCUCUGCCACACUAGAUAACACCCCAUCUGAGUGCCAGGUGUAGAUCAACAAUUACAUUAUUGUCCAUUCAUUCCACUUGUUACCAGUGAUUUUUGCAGGUCUUUCCCCAAUCACUUUUAAGCAAUUAUUUUUCCUCAAGAUUGCCCGCAUCCUCAUUUUCCAUAACGAGAAAUUGCUCCCGUUGAACUUCUUAAUUUCAAACGUUGCUGUCAUUUUGUUAAUACCGCACACAAGUUAGUGUACCUCCUUGAAUAGUUAUGAGUGAUCACACGUGUGAAUAUGCACACUACGAAAGUUCCUAAGAAAGACUGGAGGGGUCACAAUGAUCCCACUUAAAAUCCAAACUUCUUAAACUCUUAUUGCCUUUAUGACAGAAUUUUCCUAGAUAUGUACAAGACCACACAAUUACUUUCACUCACAUCACUAUUCCCUACUUUGUACCGCAGAAUUCUUGGAUCGCUCCCAUCGUUUCAUGUGAAUAAUGCCGUAUACGUGAAUAGUAUUGUAUAUGUGAAUAGUAUCGUAUACGUGAACAAUACCCGACUCCAAAGAUUUGCAACCAAUGGCUCUGAUACCACUUGUUGGGAAAAUUCAGCGGGUGAGUAGACAUACAACUAAAGUGAAAUUGAAAAAUAAUUAUCAUACAACAACACCAGAAUUUACAUAGUUCAGUUUUUAGCCUACGUCCACAUGCGAAGACAGAAGGAAAUAUUUUGCUAGUAAAAAUGAGUUACAAGUAUUAUAGUAUUUUUGUCUCACAACCCAAAACUCCAGUACACUAAAACUCUGAAAAACACUAGAACUAGAGUACAAAGCUCUCAACACUCUCAACUUACACCUCUUGGCACUCUCACUCUCACCAGAGAAAAUGAGAUGAUUCAAGAGGGCAAAUGAAGCCUUUAUUUAUAGGCCAGGUAAUGUCUAAAAAUCAAGGAUGGUGGGCAUUAAAAUAAUAUAAAUUUUCUCUGAACCUUCUACUUUGGUGCCAGAGUCAAAAGCUAUAUUACUCUCACUUACUCAUGUCUCCCACUUACUCAAUAAUUUUAUGACGAGAGUCAAAAGUUGCAUGCUAACCACAUGCAAUUGUUUGCCACAUGCAUACAUAUGUUCAACACUUUUACCUGAGUAAAUAUAAAUUGGUAAUUGACUUUUACAUAAUUCGUUAAGAUUAUUGGCGAAAAGAUGGUGCCCCAAGUACUACAUAUCAAAAUUGUGGCCAACAAACAGGAGAUCUUACAUAAAAUAUGAUCAAAUGACACGACGUUGAUUCGUACGUAAAUAUGCUUUUGACUUGUUCAUGAUUAAUAUUGAUAAGACACAUUUGACCAACCACGACAACGUUUGAAAAUAACCAAUGCAUAAUGGAUAACAUGUGCUUCCAACCACAACAAAUAGUUAAUCUGGCUUAAAAUCUCAAUCAUAGAGCGUUCAAUCUUCUUUCUUGUAGCAUUCAAAUACAAGGAGAAGACAAUCUGAUAAAUUAAUUGAAGAGGAAAAAUGGGAAUAAGAGAAACGGCAUGUCGCUGUUAACAUCCAUUAGGAAAUGAAAUUCAAUUACGUAUUAGUGUGUUUUCGAGAAGGGAAGCUUAUGUCAUUAGGUGUUUUAUGACAUAUAUGACCACAAAGUUAUAAAAUAAUGUUAAUUUUUUUUUAUUAUUAACUCAGGCAUACAUUAAAAUUCGAACUCAAGGUUUGAGCCUUAGAAAGGCCGUUCCUUACCAUAGGAACUGGCUUCAAUAAUCUUAAAUAAUUUGCAGAAAAGUAUUGAAUAAAAUAAUCAUUCAGAGGUUAUUAUUUUAACCAUUUACCUUCUUUUUUUUCACAGGGGAUAUAUGAAAAGAUAAUGAAUAAUCCCUUAAUAUAACAAUUAAUUGCAAUAUAAUUGCUUAUAUAACAUAUUAUACAAUGAUAUAUAAUCGUUAUGACGUACGUGGAAUUAGCAGAAGUGAGAGGUUGAUGAACUAACAAGACAUAAAUUUCUUACCAAGUACCAACCCAAGCUUAAUUUAUUUAUAUUUUACUAUUUUAGUCAUACCUACCCAAUCUUGAAACCCUCUAUUCUACGCUUCGCCACACCUAUAAAAGCCUCAUAACACAUGAAAUCAAUGCAUAAACACAUUUGAUCCCUUCUCUUUUGAUUGUUAUUACCGCAACACAAUAUAUGUUUCAUCUCUUAUAGCUUUAUUCGGCAAUAGUUCAACCAUGGCAUCCUUCUCUUUCUCAUCCGUUAUGCUACCACUUUUGCUAAUCGCUUUAUCGUCAAUGAGCUUUAACAUUGAUUUGAUCGCUGCUCGCCAUCUUCUAGAGGCAACAGUUCCAGAAAUACCCAAGCCUGAAUUGCCUAAGGUUGAAUUGCCACCGUUACCAAAACCUGAACUACCACAAAUUCCAAAGCCUGAAUUACCUGAGAUUCCAAAGCCUGAGCUACCUAGAAAACCUGAAUUACCAGAGAUUCCAAAGCCUGAGUUGCCAAAAGAACCUGAAUUGCCAGAGAUUCCGAAACCUGAGGUGCCAAAAGAGCCUGAAGUACCUGAACUUCCAAAGCCUGAGUUGCCCAAAGUGCCUGAGGUGCCAAAAGAGCCCGAAGUACCUGAACAUCCGAAGCCUGAGUUGCCCAAAGUGCCUGAGGUGCCAAAAGAGCCUGAAGUACCUGAACAUCCGAAGCCUGAGUUGCCCAAAGUGCCUGAGGUGCCAAAAGAGCCCGAAGUACCUGAACAUCCGAAGCCUGAGUUGCCCAAAGUGCCUGAGCUGCCAAAGGAGCCCGAAGUACCUGAACUUCCAAAGCCUGAGUUGCCCAAAGUGCCUGAGGUGCCGAAAGAGCCCGAAUUGCCUUCUCUGCCUCAUCUACCUGAGCUUCCUAAGCCCACAUUUCCCGCCAUCCCGAGUCUUCCCAAGGAGAUCCCAACUCACUCGACCACCAAUCCUUAAAUUUCAUCUUCUCCAAAUGCUUUCUCGAGCUUCAUCUGGAUGUAUACUAAUAAAUUAUAUUUGUUGGUUCUUGUUUUGAGACUUUCCAAAUUUGUGUGUUUUCACUCUUGAGGAGUUUUUUGUUAUUGUUUUUAAGUCUGGGAUACGACUCGCGAUGAGCUCCGCUCCACAGGAGUACUGUUGUAUUCAUUUUUACAUAAUCUAUUGAGUGAUAUUUAUUGUACUUUUAGGUUUAGCAGUCUGAUUUGAGGUUUCUGAUUUUAUGUGCUCUAUGACAUAUAUUACAUUUUAUCUUCAUUUUGACUUUAGUCGAAAACGUAUAGCAAAAUAAAAGAGACAUUUCAUAUCUCUGCAGGGUUCAAGCUCUACGUUCACUAAACAAACAUCAGCAUCGCAGCAGCAUUGAUAUAUAUAUAUAUAUAUAUACGUAAAAUGAACUAGGGCACUGUCUCCUUGUCUAAGGUUUAAAAUGAUGAUGAUUGCUGUGUCACAUCGAUUAAAUUGGUAUUUAAUUUUUUAUGAGUUUAAAAUGUACAGCAAAAUAAAUUAAAGAGACAUCUUUUUGUUUUGUGUAUUGCCGAACGUUUCAGCAUUCGAAGCUAGAAACACCUAAACAAACUUCAGCACCGCAGCGACAGUGAUAUUUUAGUAAAAUAAACUAGGACGACCCUUUAUCUGAUCAUUAAGGGGAGAAAAAUCAGAUUUAUUUGCUCCCUUUGACCACAUAGUCGGUUAUGAUUUUGUCCAACAACAAACCGUGAAGAGCUACGUGCCCAAAAUAGGAAUGUUUACGCGACUUUUAGACUACAGCUAUCACUAAUGUUUAAUAUGAAACUAAUCCAUCCUGAACUACAUUGACAACUUUUGUAAAUGGUUUUUUGCAGAAUAAAUAUUCUCAUUUGAGACGAAAUAUCCCCAUUACACAAGGUCCAUAAAAAAAAUGAUUAAAUUACAGAGAGAGUUACAAAAAAAAAAGAAUAAAUUAUAGAAAGAGCUUACAUUGAUACCAGAUAAGGACAGAAGUUAGUAACUCAAUUGAUCAAUUCUAACAAGGAACAUGAAAAAAGGAGCAAAAGUGAAUUAUAUAAAACUAGCUAGUAUUAAUAUUAAAAAACAAAGUAAUAAUAAAAUGAAAUUAAUUAUUUUAGGCUCAAGUUCUAGCACUUGACACGUGAUUUUUGUGUCUGAUUUUUUUAAGUACACACAUGUGCAUUUGAUUAUCCUGAUUUGAGCUUUUUGUUGGGAAAAAUCGUGUGGGUGAAGUAGACACGCAAUUAAAAUGAAAUUGAAAAAUAAUGAUCAUAUAGGGACACCAAAAUUUACGUGGUUAAACUUUUAGCCUACGUCUAUGGGCAAGGGCAGAAGGAAAUAUUUUACUAGUGAAAAGGAGUUACAAGUGUUGUAGUGUUUUGUCUCAUAACCCAAAACCCCAAUAUACCCAAACUCUAAAAAAACAAUAGAACUAGAGCUCAAAGCUCUCAACACUCUCAACUUGCGCCUCUUGGCACUCUCACUUGAAUUGGGGAAAAUGGCAUGAUUGGAGGGUAAAUGAAGCCACUAUUUAUAGGUCAGGCAAUGCCCAAAAAUCAACAAUGCUAAUAAUAUAAAAUUUCUCUCAACUUCCACUUUGGUUCGACUUGCGCUUUGUAUUCUUUCAACACUGGAAAUGCAUCUGACUUUUUCUUGAUUCGAUACUCCUAACAUCGCCUGGACUAUUCAUCAAUGAAAGUCACCACGUACUUUGAACCUCCCAAGGACUUAUCCGGCAAUUCCCAAACAUCAGAAUGAACCAAAUCUAGAAUGCAUUUAGUUAUGGUGUCAGAUCUGGUGAACUUUAAUCUAUGUUGCCUACUUGUAACACAAUGCUCACAAAGCGAUAAGUUUACCUAUUUAAGCCCUGAAAGCAACUUCUGCCCAAAGAGAAUCUUCAAACCUUGUUUCGACAUGUAGCCAAGUUUAAGAUGCUACAUCAUCGCCAAUUAUUCUCUCUUUGACGCAACACGAGCAUUAUCUUCUUGCAGUGUUUCCCCUUUAAGCAUGAAUAAAUUAGCACUGAUCUUUCCGCCUUCAGCAAUACAAACGUACUUCCGACAAUCUUCGUGAUCCCAUUUUCCACCUAAGUUUUACAACCAAGACUGUCUAUUUGUCCUAAAGACAAUAGAUUUUUUUUUCAUGCCUUUGAUAUGACAUACCUCCUUAAUAGUGCAAACUAUACCAUCAAACAUUUUUAUUUUGAUAGAACCAACACUAGCAAUCUCCAAGGUAUGAUCAUCACCCAUACAUACAGAUCCUCCUAAGAUAGGAUUAUAUUUGUGGAACUAUUCUCUUUGAGAGGUCAUGUGCCAGUAGCUCUUAAGUCUAUAAGCCAGACGUCAGAUAGUUUUUUUCUGCUUUCUUCAACCAUAAUUGCCUCGUUGUAUAAAAUGUCACCAUUAUCUGAGGUACUUACUACACACCCCUAAGUAUUUGAUGACUCAGGAUCUUUACCCUCUCUUCUCUUCUGUUAACUCCAAUACUCUUUCUUGACAUGUCCUAUUUUGGCACAUUUGUAGCAUCUGAUUUUCUUCUUACUUCUUGACUUUGAUCUACAAUGAUUGUGACUCCUACUAGGACCACGUUCCGCUAAUCUCCCUUUCACCAUCGUUAGUGCUUCUGCUUACAGCGAACUUGCUUACCUGUCGUCAUAGUUCUUGCACCUACUCUCUUAUUAAAAUGGAGAGGCUGCAACAUCAUCAAAAACUAAGCACUCCGUAAAGAUAUUGCUCGUAAAGUUGAUGAUGAGUUGAUCAUACGAGUUAGGUAAACUUUGAAGUAUAAGCUUUGCACGUUCAAUUUCCUUUAUUUUAUGCCCAACGUCGUAAGUUGUGAAAAUAGAGUUUUAAGAGUGUUGAUAUGGUCGGUCAUCGUUGUGGUUUCCGCCAUUCGAAAAGUAUAGAGUCUCCUCUUCAAGAAGAUAUUGUUGUAUAGUAACUUGGUCUCGUACAGUUUUGUUAGAGUAUCCCAAAUACCCUUCACUGUUUUUUCCUCCACCACACUAGAUAACACCCCAUCUGAGUCCCAGGAGUAGAUCAACAAUUGCAUUGCUGUCAAUUCAUUCCAUUUCUCACCAGUGAUUUUUGCAGGUCUUUCCCUAAUUGCUUUUAGGCAAUUAUUUUUCCUCAAGACUAGGUACUCCAUAAGGAUAUUGUUCGUCAAGUUGAUUAUACGAGUCAGGUAAACUUUGAAGUAGAAGCUCUGCAUGUUCAAUUUCUUUUAUUUUAUGCCAAACAUCGUAAGUUGUGAAAAUAGAGUUUUAAGAGUGUUGAUAUGAUCGGUCGCCAUUGUGGUUUCCCCCUUUCGAAGAGUAUAGAGUCUUCUCUUUAAGAAGAUUUUGUUGUGUAGCGACUUAAUCUCGUACAAUUUUGUAAAAGUAUCACAAAUACCUUUCACUGUCUUUUCCUUUGCUACACUAGAUAACACCCCAUCUGAGUGCCAGGUGUAAAUCAACAAUUGCAUUGUUGUCCAUUCAUUCCACUUGUCACCAGUGAUUUUUUCAGGCCUUAAAAUAAUUGUUCUGCUACACUAGAUAACACCCCAUCUGAGUGCCAGGUGUAAAUCAACAAUUGCAUUGUUGUCCAUUCAUUCCACUUGUCACCAGUGAUUUUUUCAGGCCUUAAAAUACUUGCUUUUAAGCAAUUGUUUUUCCUCAAGAUUGCCCGCAUCUUCAUUUUCCAUAACGAGAAAUUGCUCCCGUUGAACUUUUUAAUUUCAAACUUUGUUGUCAUUUUGGUAAUACCGCACACAAGUUAGUGUACCUCCUUGAAUAGUUAUGAGUAAUCACACAUGUGAAAAUGCACAUCAGGAAAGUUCCUAGGAAAGACUAGAGGGGUCACAACGAUCCCACUUAAAAUCUAAACUCCUUAAACUCGUAUUGCCGUUAUGACAGAACUUUCCUAGAUAUGUACAAGACCACACAAUUACUUUCACUCACAUCACUAUUCCCUGCCUUGCACCAUAGAAUUCUUAGAUCGCUCCCAUCGUUUCGUGUGAAUAGUGCCGUAUACGUGAAUAAUAUUGCAUACGUGAAAUCUGACUGCAAAAGAAUGCAACCAAUGGCUCUGAUACAACUUGUUGGGAAAAUUCAACAGGUGAAGCAGACACGUAACUAAAGUAAAAUUAAAAAAAUAAUGAUCAUACAGGAACACCAGAAUUUACGUAGUUCAGCUUUUAGCCUACAUCCACAUGCGAAGACAGAAGGAAAUAUUUUCCUAGUGAAAAGGAGUUACAAGUAUGAUAGUAUUUUUGUCUCACAACCCAAAACCCUCGUACACCCAAACUCUCAAAAACACUAGAACUAGAGCACAAAGUUCUCAACACUCUCAACUUAUACCUCUUGGCACUCUCACUCGAACUAGAGAAAAUGAGAUAAUUCAAGAGGGCAAAUGAUGCCUCUAUUUAUAGGCCAAGCAAUGCCUAAAAAUGUGGGCAUUAAAAUAAUAUAAAAUUUCUCUCAACCUUCUACUUUGAUGCCAAAGUCAAAAGUUAUAUUCCUCUCACUUACUCAUGUCUCCCUCUUACUCAACAAUUUUAUGAGAAGAGUCAAAAGUUGCAUGCUAACCACAUGCAAUUGUUUGCCACAUACAUGCACAUGUUCAACACUUUUACCUGAGUAAAUAUAAAUUGGUAAUUGACUUUUACAUAAUUCGUUAAGAUUAUUGGCGAAAAGACGGUGUCCCAAGUCCUAAUAUUUAAUUGUACAGUUGAUUGCAGUUUAGCUAUAUACUAAAGGAUGUCAUUUGGUCAAGCUUCAUUCAAAAUUGUGGCCAACAAACUGAGAUCUUAUAUAAAAUAUCAUCAAAUGACACGACGUUGAUCUCCAUUUUUUUAACACAAUAUCACAUAACUAAACAAAAGAAUUCGUACGUAAAUAUCCUUUUGACUUGUUUAUGAUUAAUAUUGAUGAAACACAUUUGACCAACCACAACGUUUGAAAAUAUUCAAUGCAUAAUGGAUAACAUAUGCUUCCAACCACAACAACUAGUUAAUCAGGCACUCAAAUACAAGAAGAAGACAAUCUGAUAAAUUAAUUGAAGUGGAAAAGAUGGGAAUAAGAGAAACGGCAUGUCGCUGUUAACAUCCAUUAGGAAAUGAAAUUCAAUUACGUAUUAGUUUGCUUUCGAGAAGGGAAGCUUAUGUCAUUAGGUGUUUUAUGACAUAUAUGACCCCAAAGUUAUAAAAUAAUGUUAAUUUUUUUUUAUUAUUAACUCAGGCAUACAUUAAAAUUCGAACUCAAGGUUUGAGCCUUAGAAAGGCCGUUCCUUACCAUAGGAACUGGCUUCAAUAAUCUUAAAUAAUUUGCAGAAAAGUAUUGAAUAAAUAAUCAUUCAGAGGUUAUUAUUUUAACCAUUUACCUUCUUUUUUUUCACAGGGCAUAUAUGAAAAGAUAAUGAAUAAUCCCUUAAUAUAACAAUUAAUUGCAAUAUAAUUGCUUAUAUAACAUAUUAUACAAUGAUAUAUAAUCGUUAUGACGUACGUGGAAUUAGCAGAAGUGAGAGGUUGAUGAACUAACAAGACAUAAAUUUCUUACCAAGUACCAACCCAAGCUUAAUUUAUUUAUAUUUUACUAUUUUAGUCAUACCUACCCAAUCUUGAAACCCUCUAUUCUACGCUUCGCCACACCUAUAAAAGCCUCAUAACACAUGAAAUCAAUGCAUAAACACAUUUGAUCCCUUCUCUUUUGAUUGUUAUUACCGCAACACAAUAUAUGUUUCAUCUCUUAUAGCCUUAUUCGGCAAUAGUUCAACCAUGGCAUCCUUCUCUUUCUCAUCCGUUGUGCUACCACUUUUGUUAAUCGCUUUAUCGUCAAUGAGCUUUGACAUUGAUUUGAUCGCUGCUCGCCAUCUUCUAGAGGCAACAGUUCCAGAAAUACCCAAGCCUGUUACCAAAACCUGAACUACCACAAAUUCCAAAGCCUGAAUUACUGAUGGUUGUUGAAACCAACAAAAAUAAAUACUUACUCUAAAUAAAUUGUGUAUAGUGAUUGAGUAGGGUCGUGUCCACAGAGAUCGGUAAUUAUUUAAAUCCUUUUAAAAUAUAAAAUGCAAAAUGGGGGAAUUGUUGACAAUAAAAAAAAUAAAAUUAAAAUAACAAGAACACAAAUUCAAAUUGUAAUUCAAAUUGGGGAAAGCUCUGGUUGAAGGAAUUAACUUAGCUUGAUUUGACUACUGAUCCUUGAUUCAAAUAUAAAUUAUUACUACUUAUGAAUAGACCGGUUAUAGCUACUGAGACCCUCUAAUAGUCAAUCUCUCCUUAACUAGUCGAUAACCAAGGUACGACCGUUGGUUAUUUUCCUAAGCAAUAGACAAUACUACUAGAAAAAUAACCUUUACUGACACUUGUCUUGUGAUACUUUAUUAAAAGUAUCAGUAAUUACAUGCAUUUCGGAUAUUUUCCGUGUUUAACAAAUAAAUAUCACAAAUUUGUGAUACUAUAGUGUCUGUAAAUUAAAUAUCAGAGAUCUGUGACAAUAAGGUAUUAGUAAUUAGAAAAAUAAAAUUUUAAUUUUGUGUCCAUUAGGAAUCGAACUAAAGACCUCUAAACUUUAACUUUUUAAUUUUAAACAUUAACCACUGGGCCAUGAGUUGGAUUUUGAUUUUUGGCUUAAUAAGUAAAUAAUAUUAAAAAUUAAAUUAAAUUACCUAGAUACUAUGUCGUUUUAAUGGAAGGUGUACAUGAAAACCUAAAAUCUAAAAUUUUUAAAAAGUGAAAAAAAAUUCCCCACGGCCGCUUCUUGCUAUGAACUGAAGCUCUCUUCCUUCCUUCUCUCUCUCUCUCUCUCUCUCUCUCUCUCUCUCUCUAUAACAAUGAUCUACCUCAGCCGUCGCCAUCAACCUUCAAAUCGCCAUCCUUGACCUAAAAUACCCUUGAACUAGAAAGUGUUGGGAAGAAUUUGAGCAAAGCUAGGGUUUUUUUGAAAGUUCGAAUCCAAAAAUUAGGGCUUUUUUGUAGGGGGUAUUUCAUUGUUUUUAAUGUUGAGUUCGAAGAGAAUGAUUUUGCCGCCGUUACCGCCUAAGCAGUAUGGAGUGACGAAGCCAAUAUCAAUUGCAGGAUCGAUGGAGGGUGAUAUGCAAAGAACCCAUGAGAAAAGGUUUUGUUUUAUCUUUAUUUAUAAUUACUUUUUUCUUUCUGUAUAGAAAACCCUGAUUUCAAUUUCCUUUAGGGUUAAAGUUUUUGGUUGGAGCUGGGUUUUAUGAAAGCAAAGAAGAAGCGGCAAAGGGAGAAGAGGUUUUGUUUCGAAUUAGACAAGCAAGAGUUUUUUUUAAAAAAAUUAAUUAUUGGUGAUUUUGAAACCUGGGAUGACCUUGUUGUAAUAUUUUUGUUAUCAGUUGGUUCAUUCUUCAUUUUUUAAUUGGGUUACGAAUUGAGUUUGUUUGAAUUGUAUUGGUGAUCUUAGAGGUUUUAUUUUAUUAGAGAAUUUAGUGAUGAACCAGAAAUAACUUCAUCGUCUGGCAAAUUCGUCUUUUGCUUUAUUAUUGCGCUCAUUCGUCUGGCAAAUUCAUGUUCUUUAACUCCCAUUUGAAUUUUUUUUUUUUUUGGUUAGUCAAAUUGAUAUUUACUCAUUCAUUUAAGUUCACACAUUAAUUCUCAACCGUCUUAGUUGGUUAAUUGGAUCCUAUUAAUAGUCUCAGGAUAAUUAUAAGUGACUGGGUUGUGACAUUGAGUUGUGACUCAAAUAUUGUACUGUCCGCUUCAUUCUGCUUUAUGAUGCUUAGUUUAAUAUCUUAGACAAUGGAGGAAUCGAAACUGGAGCAUGGAAUGUAUUUAUUUCCAUAGUUGGGAUCUUGGAGAUGUUUCUUUACAUGUUUGUUCAUUGAGCUAAAAAUUUAAUCUCACUUAGCUGUGACUAAAUUUUUUUUUUACUAUUAUCAAUGCAGGUAAUUAAUUGUUUCUGACAAAAUGAAGCAUAAAGAUAAGAAACCGAUUUCUCCAAAUGGUGAUAAAAGUCCCAGGAUUGUUCCUUUGACAGUAUUGUUUGUUGCACUACGUGGGUUUUCGUUUUACCUUGGUGGAAUCUUUUGUUCUGAGAAAAAUAGAGUCGAGAUUAGGGAUGUCCAGAAAGCAGUCCCGUCUCCCAAGGAUCCAGCGGUUGCUCCGCUUCAGAUCAAAUCUGUUAACUUCCCUGAAUGCAGCAGCAACUAUCAAGACUACACUCCAUGCACAGAUCCAAAGGUAUACCUUAAAUGCUUAUUUGAUAAUAGUAACAGCUUCUAGGCAAUGUUACAAAGCUAUAUGAUAUCAAGUGGCCAUAUUGAUGGCAAACAUUCAUUGCUACAGAGGUGGAAAAAGUACGGUGCUCAUCGGCUGACUUUCAUGGAACGCCACUGUCCUCCAGUUUUUGAGAGGAAGGAAUGCUUAAUACCCCCUCCUAAUGGGUAUAAGCCACCUAUCAAGUGGCCAAAAAGCAGGGAUGAAUGUUGGUACAGGUAUUAUGAUCUAUUAAUGAACUGGUUUUAUUGUCCACUGAUGUUGGCCGUAAGUCAAUUUUGUUCUAUUAUUUGGAUCUAGUUUCAGGAAUGUGCCUUAUGAUUGGAUUAACAAGCAGAAGUCAAAUCAGAAUUGGCUGAGAAAACAAGGAGAGAAGUUCCUCUUUCCUGGUGGAGGUACAAUGUUUCCCAAAGGAGUUGGUGCAUAUGUUGAUUUGAUGCGAGAUCUGAUUCCAGAAAUGAAAGAUGGGAUAGUUCGAACUGCUAUUGACACUGGAUGUGGGGUGAGUUUUGUUUUCCAUUUGCCCACUUUUUCAUCUAAUCAUAUACUGGGCUAAUCUAUGUUGCAUUGAUGGUUUAUUCUUAUGGUGCCUCUUGGUCAUCUUAGGAUAAAUUUAACUCACUUACAUUUUUUUUUAUAGGUUGCUAGCUGGGGAGGUGAUUUAUUAGAUCGUGGAAUUUUAACGGUUUCUCUUGCACCAAGAGAUAAUCAUGAAGCUCAAGUUCAAUUUGCAUUGGAACGUGGAAUUCCCGCAAUUCUUGGCAUCAUUUCCACACAGUGCCUACCUUUCCCCUCAAAUUCAUUUGAUAUGGCUCAUUGCUCAAGAUGCCUUAUCCCGUGGACAGAAUUCGGUAAUUAGUCAUAUACUAUGAAGAUAUUUUCUAGAGAAGUAUCAUUAUCAAAUUGAUUGGAUAAUAGCAGUUAAGAUUAUUCAAUUAUAAGAAUAACUUGUCUUGUAAUCAGACGUCUUUGUGUAUUGAAGUAUUUGGAUUGUGUAAUAUAUAUUGAUAAUAUUUAAAUGUUACGAAAGGUUUUGAUAUAUAAAUUGAUUUUUGUUCUUAUUUCUCACAGCCUUUUAAUUCUAUCAACAAAUCAAUGGGCAACAUGUCAUUUUAUAUAAUUAUUUUUUAAAAUAAUAAAUAAAGUAGUGAUACUAUAGUAACAGUAAUCACAAAUACUAAUAUAGUAUUGUAAUAUUUUGAUACCAUGGUGUUAUUAUUUUAGUGAUACUAUAGUAAUAGUAAUCACUGACACCACUUACAAGUGUCACUAUUUUUCUGACUCCCAGAUUGCUGACACAAUUAAUAAGUGUCAGUAAAAGUAAUUUCUGACACUAUUCUAAAGUCAGUAAAGACCAUUUUUCUAGUAGUGCAACCCUAGAUACGAUCAUAGGAUUUAAUCAAUUGACAGCCUGAAAAACCAGAGAGACCCAAAUCCUAAUCAACAAACGCAUACGAUGGUUCAUUUAAAUUAGAUUGUUUAUUCUCAUAACACAACGCACUGCUAUGCUAUUUGUCACAAACAUUAAAGUUUUCAUACGAUGAAUCAUUUAAUUGACAAUAGAUUAAGUUGAUAAUUAAAUAGUGGCCAAUUAUCUAAUUAACAAACAUAAUCAUGACAAUAAUUCAGAGAAUAAAUAAAUACCCAAAAAGUAAUAAAACAAUUAAAGCAUAAGAAAGAUCUCACAAUAAUGAUGAAUCAAAGCUUCAUUAACCUUAAACCAGAAUAAUAAAUUUAGUUCUUCAUAGAAAAUUUUAGAUUUAGGGUUUCUUUUUCUUCAAAAAUCUCCCAUUUUUUCUAGUAGAUUCCUCUCUUAAAUUCUUUCCUCUCUCUUCUCGUCUAGAGUUCUUUUUAAAAUAAAAUACUAAUAUCUAAAAUAUUAUCUAAAUAUUAAAUUCGUAAUUACAAAAAUAACCAAAAAGAUAAAACACAUUAAACUAAAAACUACAGGUCCGUAGUUGACAGCACGUGCCCACGCCUUAUCAACAAAGUUCUUCUGAAGCUAAAUUUUAGCACCAAUCAAUAGAAUUGCACCUACAGAAAUAAAACACAAGUAAAUCACUAUUAUUAAGUGCAAAACAUCAAUAUUAAAGGAAGUAAACAAUGCAAAACUAGUGCAUAAAUUGCACUCUAACAAUUACUUGAGAUUCCAAAGCCUGAGCUACCUAAAAAACCUGAAUUACCAGAGAUUCCAAAGCCAGAACUACCGAAGAAACCUGAAUUACCUGAGAUUCCAAAGCCUGAGUUGCCAAAAGAACCUGAAUUGCCAGAUAUUUUGAAACCUGAGGUGCCAAAAGAGCUUGAGUACCUGAACUUCCAAAGCCUGAGUUGCCCAAAGUGCCUGAGAUGCCAAAAGAGCCCGAAGUACCUGAACUUCCAAAGCCUGAGUUGCCCAAAGUGC